CCUUGGUGUAGCGGUAACACACAAUCUGCUAAUCCAGAUGUCGUAGGAUAAGAAUAAGAUUGAGUCCGGGGUUCGAACCCCCGAGG